rnacentral:rRNA from 1 species
UAGGGAAUCUUCCACAAUGGACGCAAGUCUGAUGGAGUAACGCCGCGUGAGUGAAGAAGGUUUUCGGACCGUAAAGCUCUGUUGUUGGUGAAGAAGGAUAGAGGUAGUAACUGGCCUUUAUUUGACGGUAAUCAACCAGAAAGUCACGGCUAACUACGUGCCAGCAGCCGCGGUAAUACGUAGGUGGCAAGCGUUGUCCGGAUUUAUUGGGCGUAAAGCGAGCGCAGGCGGAAGAAUAAGUCUGAUGUGAAAGCCCUCGGCUUAACCGAGGAAUUGCAUCGGAAACUGUUUUCU